UACGAAGGGGGCUAGCGUUGCUCGGAAUCACUGGGCGUAAAGGGUGCGUAGGCGGGUCUUUAAGUCAGGGGGGAAAUCCUGGAGCUCAACUCCAGAACUGCCUUUGAUACUGAGGAUCUUGAGUUCGGGAGAGGUGAGUGGAACUGCGAGUGUAGAGGUGAAAUUCGUAGAUAUUCGCAAGAACACCCGUGGCUAAGGCGGCUCUCUAGUACGGUACUGACGCUGAGACGCGAAAGCGUGGGGAGCGAACAGG
rnacentral:rRNA from 1 species